rnacentral:rRNA from 1 species
CCAUGCCGCGUGCAGGAAGACGGCCCUAUGGGUUGUAAACUGCUUUUAUACGGGAAGAAAAACAGCUACGUGUAGUUGACUGACGGUACCGUAAGAAUAAGGACCGGCUAACUCCGUGCCAGCAGCCGCGGUAAUACGGAGGGUCCGAGCGUUAUCCGGAAUUAUUGGGUUUAAAGGGUCCGUAGGCGGGCCAUUAAGUCAGGGGUGAAAGUCUGCGGCUCAACCGUAGAAUUGCCUUUGAUACUGGUGGUCUUGAGUUAUGGUGAAGUGGCUGGAAUAUGUAGUGUAGCGGUGAAAUGCAUAGAUAUUACAUAGAACACCGAUUGCGAAGGCAGGUCACUAACCAUAUACUGACGCUGAUGGACGAAAGCGUGGGGAGCGAACAGGAUUAGAUACCCUGGUAGUCCACGCCGUAAACGAUGGAUACUAGCUGUCCGGGACCUUGAGUCCUGGGCGGCCAAGCGAAAGUGAUAAGUAUCCCACCUGGGGAGUACGUUCGCAAGAAUGAAACUCAAAGGAAUUGACGGGGGCCCGCACAAGCGGUGGAGCAUGUGGUUUAAUUCGAUGAUACGCGAGGAACCUUACCAGGGCUUAAAUGCAUAUUGACAGGGGUAGAGAUACCUUUUCCUUCGGGCAAUUUGCAAGGUGCUGCAUGGUUGUCGUCAGCUCGUGCCGUGAGGUGUCAGGUUAAGUCCUAUAACGAGCGCAACCCCUACCGUUAGUUGCCAGCGAGUCAUGUCGGGGACUCUAACGGGACUGCCGGUGCAAACCGUGAGGAAGGUGGGGAUGACGUCAAAUCAUCACGGCCCUUACGUCCUGGGCCACACACGUGCUACAAUGGCCGGUACAGAGAGCAGCCAUCUGGCAACAGAGAGCGAAUCUACAAAACCGGUCACAGUUCGGAUCGGGGUCUGCAACUCGACCCCGUGAAGCUGGAAUCGCUAGUAAUCGGAUAUCAGCCAUGAUCCGGUGAAUACGUUCCCGG